rnacentral:sRNA from 1 species
CUUCCAUCCCGAGCGACUAGUACGGAUUUCCAACUUGACGGCCGUUGACUUGCAUCUGGGACAGCAUUCGAUUGGAAUACGGUGAUACUUGUGGUUUUCACGCCAGUCCACAAACAACGCAACAAGUGCCGCCGGGCCGUAUUGUGGAAGCAGUUUGUACGGCAUUCAGUUCGCGAAUGAUGCCUGAGCACACUCUGAUUCCGAUAAAAUAGCAAUGCCCAGGUGCAGCUCAAAAAUAGAGCUCUGCGGGGGAGUUAGCUCUGGAUGCGCCUGGUAUCCCACGCACAAACGGUUUCGGGCUAAAAGCUAUGAGGGUACAGCUUUAUUGACCUUAUCAGAGGCUGCAGACGCACCUUUGGAUACGAGAAAUGCACUUUUCCGCACUUUCAAACAGCAGUUGAGACGUCACACA